UUUACCUACGGGAGGCAGCAGUGAGGAAUAUUGGUCAAUGGCCGAGAGGCUGAACCAGCCAAGUCGCGUGAGGGAAGACGGCCCUACGGGUUGUAAACCUCUUUUGUCGGGGAGCAAAGCGAGUCACGUGUGACUCAUUGAGAGUACCCGAAGAAAAAGCAUCGGCUAACUCCGUGCCAGCAGCCGCGGUAAUACGGAGGAUGCGAGCGUUAUCCGGAUUUAUUGGGUUUAAAGGGUGCGUAGGCGGGCUUUUAAGUCAGCGGUAAAAAUUCGGGGCUCAACCCCGUCCGGUCGUGGAAACUGGG
rnacentral:rRNA from 1 species